UAUUUAGAUCUCUAAUAUAAUUAUUAUAAUCUGUGUUCUUAGACAUAGAGGACUUAUUAGAUAUAGAUUAUAGAUCUAGACUAGUACUAGUAGACUCUUAAAUUAUUUUAGAUCUAGAACUAUAUACAAGAUCUAGUGUGACUAGAGUAGAGCCCUAGAAUUAGAAAAGGAUAGAUAAUCAAGUAGAUCUAGAAUAAUCUAGACUAGAUUUCACUAGAUCUAGUCAAUAGAUUUAGACCUAGUAGUAACAAAUAAAAAUUGUUUGUUUUUUUAGUUUUUGUUCUUUAGGAGGGUUUUUGGGCCAAAGUCUUGUUCGGGUCUCUUGAUUUAGAAUGCACCAUUGAAGGACAUGGUCAGCAUUCUCAGGUGAUGGGCAAGUUUCUCUAGUCCCGACAUUUAACUUCCAGAACAUAUAUUGUCUCAUUCAGUGAACAAGCCUUUUCCUUUGUGGAAACUAAACAAGCAUUACUACUGGUCGAUUUUGACUGACUGUAAUUUGACAGCAGUCACAAGGAUAGAAACUAGUAAGCUAGUUCCACAGUUCCGGAACAUCAUGCACGAGUGUAAAAAGUAAAAUACUGCACAUUAAGUACAACUGUAUAUUUGUCAGGAUAUUUUAAUGUAAAAUGACAACAGCAAUUUGAAAAAAAAAAUCGUAAAAUUGGUUUAAAUAAUUGCUAACUCUUGUUGUAAUUCCUUAACGUGAAGUGUGGGGAAAAAAAAGAAACGUGAAUAUAAUACAGUGUAAAUAUGAAUUAAAAGACACUCUACACAGUUAGCUUAGAGUGUCUCUAUAAGUUGUAUAUAAAUAUGCGGCCCGCCAUUCCCAAUUUUUAAAAUAAUGCGGCCCUCGAUACAAAAAGGUUGCCCACCCCUGAUCUAAGAUAUUCAUGUACUGUUUUGGAUGUUAUGUAUGUCGACAUAUCCGAUUUGAUUUUCUGGCCCAAUAAGGAGAGUCUCAGGCCCAAAAAAUUUAUUUGUACUUAUGACAGGAAGAUGACAGUAAUAAAUGACUGUUUUGAAAUUUUCAUUGAGAGACCUAGCAGCGUUAAAGCACAGGCACAAACCUAUUCUUCCUAUUAGCACAACACAGUAAAAUAUCUGAUUGGAACUCAUUACUUUCAAUAAAUGAAUUAAAAAUUAUUUAUACUAAGCUUUAUAGUUUCUUUGGAUUUAAUAGCCUUUAAAUUUUUAUUUUUAGAAGUGAUGUUGUUCACAAGAGAAUCAAAUUUAACUUUUUGUUUUUUAAUGAGGUGAUAUCAAUCUCAGAAACCUUAGUUGGCAAAACUUUUUUAAGCUCUGGUGGAUUUAUCCAGUAAGAUAACAAGCCUGUAACUGUCUUACUCUCUUUUAGCCUGGUGUUGGCUUCCAGCAUAAAUAAAGUGUCUGCCACAUUUCUUCUUCUUCUUCAUCGUUCUCAUUGUUAUGUUGGAGUGUUCAUAUGACUAGACCAGUACAUGAGAUGAACUGCGCAGUGGUUUCCAAAUCAGGGAGCUCUCCAUAUAGUUUUCUUUCUAUUGGGGUGAUUUGGGGUCAAUGUCUUAUACGGGCCUCUUGGUAGAGAGAGCAGUUUUGGAGGACGUGGUUGGCAUUUUCUGGUGAUAUUCCACAUGGGCAGAUUUCACUGGUUCCAAUUUUGAGUUUCCGGAACAUGUGUUGUCGCAUUCCGUUGUGUCCGGUCCUGAGUCGAAAGAUUAGACGUUGGUCUUGUCAGGAUAGCUUAUAGUAAGCGUCAUCUUUCUUGUGAUUUGGAUGGGAGCUCGUCCAUUUCUCAUUUAUUUUAUCUACAAUUAAUUUCUUCAUUUCUUCUGGAUAGAGUGCAGAGUUUACUUGUGAGUUUGUUCUCCCACUCUUGGCGAGUGUGUCAGCCUUCUCAUUUCCUGCUAGUUGUAUGUGAGCUGGUAUCCAUUGAAUAACAGUUUUUUUGCUGUUGUUGUUGAGCUUUGUAAGUGCUGUUCUGAGGUUUUUAAUAUGAGGGGAAUCAGAGUUUUGCAAGCUUUGGAGGGUUGUUUUCACGUCUGUUAGAAAGACAAUCUGACUGUGAGGGGAACUUGGAUGAUUUGCUAACAUGGUAGCAGCUAGUGCUAGUGCUUCCCUUUCUGCUCUGUGACUGUCAGAGAACUCUCCAGUUGCAAUGGAUUUUUCUAGUUUUCCUCCAUCUGGCCAUUCGAUAAGUAUUCCAGCUCCUCCAUUUGUGGUGGCUUUAUGGGAUGAGCCAUCCGUGUAAACUCUGAUCCACUGAUUGCUAGGGUAAUUGGUAUGUAGAAAACAGUUCACUAUUUCCUUGAGCUCUGUUGGUCUGUAAUCAGAUUUUCUUUUUAUGUUUUCAAUAUGGUCCCUUAUAGUAGGAAGAGGGCUUUCGUCCCAGGGUAGAGAUUCAUUAUAGUGUAUUGAGGAUUCCAGAGUAAUUUUUUCAAUUUGCUGUUUCUUUUUUAGGUUUAGAGAUUCCUGUAUGAAAUUGGUCCUUUUGAGAUGUUUUUUUGUGCCAGUUUUGUGGAUUUUUGUUCUGAGUGGGUGCCUCUCCAAGGUUUCCAAUUUAGUGAAUUGGGAAAGGAUUUUUAUUUCUCUUCUUUCAUCCAGAGAGAUCAGGGCAGCAGUUUCCUCCAUAGCUCUUAUGGGUGUUGUUUUGAUUGCUCCCGUCAUUAUCCUUUGACCAAUAUUUUGAACCUUGUCUAUUUUUCUUAGGUUGGUUUGGGCUGCUGAGCCCCAUGCUGUGGCACCAUACAGGUCUUACAUAACUGGUAUAGGUCUUUUUCAGGAUGUUGUGAUUAGCUCCCCAAUCUGUGCCAGCUAAUUUUUUCAAGAGGGAUAGUCUCUGGAUGCCUUUACUCUGUGUUUUAUCUAUUUGGUUUUUCCAGGUUAGUCUCGGGUCAUAGGUGACUCCAAGAUAAGUAGGGCUGUCAUUUUUUUUCUAAAGCUUCCAAAUUUAUGUUAAUUUUAUUGUUUGUUGUUUUGUUGACAGUGAGAAUAUGGUAUAUGUGGUCUUUUUUGUGUUAAUGGACAUGCCCCAGUCUUUGGACCAAUUAUUGAGUUUAUCAAGAGCAUCUUGUAAUCGAAAUUUCGAUGUUCCUACAUAUUCUUCUGUGCUAAUUAUGGCAAGGUCAUCUGCAUACAUGCUGCUUUUAACUUUUCUAGGUAGGUUUUGAUUUAGAUCGUUUAUGAAUAUUAGGAAAAGUGUUGGGGAUAGGACUCCUCCUUGGGGGAUGCCAUUUUUUAUACCCACUGUGUGGCUUCUUUGUCCUUGCAUGCAAACUAAGGCUUUUCUAUUAUUUAGGUAUUCCUUUAUCCAGUUGUACAUUCUUUGGGAUAUGUGAUGCUGGAUUAGCUUGAGCAAGAGACCUUGUUCUCAGACUUUGUCAAAUGCUUUUUCUAAGUCAACCCACACAAUUGUUGUUGGUUUCUUUUCUCGAAAGCCAUCUUCUAUUUCUUGUGUGAUGAAGGCAAUUUGAUCUUCUGUUGAUCUGCCUUUUCUAAAGCCAGCCUGGGCUUCAGUGAGUAGGUUAUUUGACUCAAGGAUCCAUGUCUGCCACAUGAGUGCAGGACUCACCAAGUCCAACUAUACAAGAACAGUGGGCUGAUAGAAUAAUACCAUCUUGACUUAUUACUAUCCAGGGCUGCAGUACAUGCUAACCACUGAGAGUGAAGACCUAUUAAAAAGAAAAAAAAAUUAUUUAAAAUACCUGUACAUAUCAAGACAUUGGUCUCAUAUACAUGUAAAUACCUUUGAAUAUCAAGAUAUUAACUAUAAUAUAACAAUAUUUAUUACUUACCUUUGCUAGUGGUUUAAAAGCCAUAACAUCUUGAACCCAACCAUCUAGGAACUGGUUGUAAGCUGCUAAACUCUUGUAAGCCUGUAGACAUUUUCAAAAGUAAAAAUAGCAAUAACAUUUUAAUAAUAGAUGUAGAACUCUUGUAAUAUAAAGAAUUGGUUGGACUUCGAAGCAUCCUAAAAAUAUAGAAAUUCAAAACCCUAGUCUACACCAAAAAUUCAAUUGAGACUAGUGAAGUGCUUCAGCCGCAACAGCCAAAAGGUUUGGGCUAAGGUGUAAUUAGCUUCAAAUCUUAAAGAGCAUUUGAAAGUUGUAAAAGAAACACAGAACUAGUAUCAGAUCUAGGACCAUUAGAUUUAUCAACAAGUUACUAGUCUUGAUGAGCCUAGUCCUAAAAUAAACUCUAAAAAGUCUUCAGCCCUAGACUUAGAUCUAAACUGGAUAGUAAAGUUUUCUUUGGUUUAGAUGCUAGAUCUGAUCUAUAUAAUACUAGUAUCUAAUAAUAAGUAACUAUUAUCUGUAACUAUAGUCCAAAUAUAUCUUGUGCAGAGAUGUGUUUAAUGAGCGCCUAAAGGCAGUACUGAAAACCUCCCAGAUACCCCUCCCCUCCGGUCCACCAAUGAGAUUGGACCAUAGCGCUCUGAGCAUACUAUAACUAUAAGCAUGAAAGUAGUGCUACAUAAAAGCUAAAUUUAUUUAUCUUAUCAAGUGACCUAGAAGUGAAGACUAGAUCUAGCUAUAUCUAUUAGAUAAAAAUUAAGUUUCAUAUGCUUAAAAUAUGCAGCAACAGAGAGAUGUAGAUUUUAGAUGUUAUCUAGAUUUUCUAGAUCUAUUCUAUAGAGUCUAGAUGAGAUCUAGAAUGACCUACUAAGCCUAAGCAUUAUGUAGGCUAGACUCUAGAUCUAGUCACACUCUAAUCUGAGACAUCAUCCAGAUUUUGUAUAUAAUAUAUCUAUGAUCAAUGUAGCCGUAGAUCUACAUCUAGAAUACUAGACCUUGAAGGCUUGAGUAGAGAGUAGAUCUCUAUCACAAUCUAUGUAGGCCUACAUUAUAUGUUACAACAAUGUUGAUCUAGCUCUAGACCAGUGUUUCUCAAACUUUUUUGUCUGCCGGCACAGUAAACAAACUACAAAAAUUUCGCGGCACACCACGAAGAGCAACAGAUGUUUUAUAAUAAAAAGAAAAAAAGAUUUUGCCUGUUUUUCAGUAUUAUGUUUAAUGUGAAUGUUGUGCCUGUUUUUGAGAGCAAAUGCAAUCUAAUCGAGGCUCCAAAGUCGACAAACAAACUCGCAUUUCAUCGUCUAUUGUAAGAAGUCUCUCUCUUUUCUUAGAUUUGAUUUCAGUCAGUGCUGAAAAUCCAAACUCACAAAACCAUAAAGAUGUAAAUGGAAGAAUUAUUUUGAUUGCUUUUAAAUUGAUUACAGGAUAUAACUUGUUGAUUGAAAUCCAAAACACAUCCAAGCUUUCUCGGAAAGCUUGACUUAAGAAUUGCGUCGUUUUUUAAAUCAUUGAGCUGCUCUUCUUCUUUAGUUGUAAAAUUUGUAGCUUCAUUGUUUCCAAAUGGAGAGCUGACCCAUUUAUAUUCAUUACUUCAAACUGUUAAGAAGUAAUGCUGCAAUGUUAACUGCAGGUGUUUCAAAGUGUCCAGAAUUUCGGGGGUGAUUUCUUUAUUUGAAGCAGAUUCAUUGUAAGUAGGAAAGCAGUCCUUUCGUGAUUUUACUUUGCCACAAAGACAAUCAAUUUUAACCAAAUGAUAUUAGUUUUGAUGAUGCAAUGAUGAUGGUUUCCGAUGGUCCUUGAAGACUUCAAUUCAAUGAAUUUAAUUUGUCAAAUUAAUCAGAGAGAAAUGUCACCUUAACCCACCAAAUCUCGUCAUGAAUAGAAAAUCCAAAGUCUUUUUUUUUUUCAGCCUCCAAGAAUGAAAUCAGCUCAGCCUUGAGUUGGACGACACCCUUUAACACUUUUCCCCUGGAGAGCCAACGAACGUUGGUGUGAUACAGGAGACAUUAGUAGUCUGAAUCCAUUGCUUCACAAAGCUCUGAGGAAAGUCAGAAUGCAAGCGGUCGAGAUUUGAGGAAGUUUACAACUUCAAUCACUUGAUCCAGAACAGACAUCAAAUAUUUGAAGGCAAGAGCUUCUCUGUGGAUCAUGCAGUGAACAACUAAUACAUUUGGAUUUUCUUGACGCACAAGAGUGAAGAAUCCCUUUCUAUUUCCCUGCAUGGAAGGACAGCCAUCGGUGCAAACGCUGACACAGUUUGUCUCCACUGUACUUUGAAUAACAAAAUGGUUUCGUUCACCACUUAAAAAUAUCUUCGCCUUUGGUCGUAGUUGGUAAGUCUUUGCAAAAUAAGAAUUUGUUGACACAUUUUUCAUCCUUUAUGAACUGAAUAAAAGCUAACAACUGGGCUUUGCACUAAUGUCAGUGGAUUCAUCCACUUGAAGGGACCACAACAGAGACAGUUCAUCGUCAGUCAUUUCGAAGUGUUCGAAGAUUUGAUCUUGUAAAUCUGACAAUAAGUCUUCAAUUCUGCGCAAGAUAGUACUAUUUGACAAAGGAACUUUUUUAACUUUUUCGGCAGCAUCGGGUCCAAGGAUAGUUUCAACAACUAUUGCUAAAGCUGGUGCAAUGACUGAUUCAGCCUCUGUGUGUUCUUUCUUGCAUUUGCUAAUAACUGAACAACCUUAUAAAUUGCAAUUAAUCCCUUUUCUGAAAGCUUUAGGUAGUUCGUAAGUUUCUUAGCUUGUUUAUUUUGUUGAGCCCUGAUGUUUUUGAAGUAUUCCUUCAGUUGCGCUUUUACAGCUGGAUGUUUUGUUUCCAAGUGUCUCUUCAAUUUACUUGGAACAAGCGCCUCAUUCAACAGAGCUGAAUUGCAGAUCAGACAGAAUGACAAUGGAGAAUCUUCAGGUCCUGAAGAUAUGAAACCAUAUCCGAUGUAAUCUUCUUUGUACCUUUGUUUGGUUCCAUGCUUUUCAUUGAACGCUUUCGCAGUUUCAUUCUUACCAACGUAUUUCUCCAUGGAUAACAAUGAUUAAGGCUUAGUAAUAAUUUGUUAUUAUUAGCAUACACCUACAAAAUUUACAUGAAACACAUCGCUUAUUAUUAUCGUUACCAAUUCAAGAACUGCUGAGCGUCUGCUAAGGCGGCCUACAUUUGAGUCAUUAUAAUAAUAUAUGUAUAGUGGACAACUCCAUAACUUGAAGAGCUAACACCCCUUUCCGUCAUAAUGUAGCGAUCCACUACUAUUACUGGUCGUUGCAAGCUGGGAUGUCGUCACAAGGUAAAAUAAAAAUUUAAUAGUAGGCAAACCUGUGUAACGCUGCACGUGUGGCAUUCUGAAAACUCCUCGGCACACCUGCAAAUCUUCGGCGGCACACAGUUUGAGAAACACUGCCCUAGACAAUAAUAAAUAUUGACUAUUCAAUCUGAUUCUACAUUUAUGUCAAACAAUAUUAUGAAUAUAGUAUAGAUGUCUAGAUAUGCUAACUUAAAUAGUUAGAAUAUAGAUCUAGAAUCUAGUCUAGAUUAGUUAUUAGUAGAUCUAGAUCUAAUCUAGGUCUAACAAUAAAAUUGAUUCAGAAUACCUUGAACUCAUCCUUUGUGAUUGUGUAAGCACUUUCAGUAGAACAAGAUUAUAAGUGAAGAGAUCUGGAUAACACACGGAGGUGGCGAUUUUAUUGUUUACCAUGGAGUUGUCUACUUUUCAAAUUUUACUGACCAAGUUUUUUACAAUGACUGAUCCAUCAGCAGUUUCCGAAGCAGUAACUGAUAUCUCAAAAAAAUAUUGCUUUACUGAUGGUGUCUGGUCACCUCAGAGGAUCAACAGGAUUUGUUCAUUGAAAGACACUUGAAGGUGUAGGCAGUUAAAGCAAAAGGACUUCUUGCAAUGUUUGUUUCAAGGACCAGACACAACAGAAUUCCACAACAUAUGUAUCGGAAGCUCAAAAUCAGAAACUGAAAUCUGCCCAUGUGGAGUGUCACCAGAGAAUGUUGACCAUCUCCUCCAAAAUUGCUCUCUUUACCAAGAGGCUGUACAUGACACUGGCCCCAAAACACCCCAAUAGAAAGAAAACUAUAUGGAGAGUUCCCUGAUUUGGAAAUUACUGCAAAAAUAAUCUCAUAUACUGGUCCAGUCAUCUGAAUGCUCCAAUAAAAAAAAUGAGAAGGAAGAACAAAGAAGAUUGUAUGUACCAUUUUUGUUUGUUUGAGGAUGGGGAGAAAAGUGAUCUUAGAAUUCAAACACCAAAAGUAUGUGUCUUUAUGAAUUCAAUGUAAUUGAUACUAGGCUUUUUGGGCUGAAAAUAAAAUGCAGGAAAUUUUAUUGGAAGUGCAGAAAAAAAAAAGAUUUUGUAGCCAAAAUAAACAAUGUAUAGCCUGAGAACAAAUCAGGGGGAAGAACCAAGGGUAAUGCUAGUAUACUAUAGAAGUAUCUUUUUUUUAUGCUUGCAACUUCAUUGAUGCAUAACAGUGUCACAAACUGUUUGUUAAUGUGAUAUGAAACAUAAUUUUUUUUGUUACACAUAUAAUCACUCUAAAAAAAUUAUUUCUAAAAUAGAUAACUGUCUCUAGUAACCUGCUAGUGGACCAUGACCAACCUUUUUCUAUCUUGCUUUGUAUGAUAUAAACUUUCCUAGUUUUGACUUUAAAUUGUCGCUCUGGUCGUGUCAGUUAUGCUAUAGGCUACUUUUAAUUGCAUAUGUUUGACAAAAAUAGUGAAAACAAGAGAACAUAACAUUUUCUAAAGAAAUUUUUAAUAUUUUGCAUUUUUAGGGAAGCAACAUGGCUAUCGAAAAGCAGAGACCAUACAAACCUCAUUAGAUGAAGAGUUUUAUUUUGUUGGUAAAGUCCUUGGUUUUGAGCCAUCAGAGAAACAUAGAAAGCUCUAUUUUGACAAUAUAUAAAGAGUGACUUUAGCUCAACUCCUCACCAAGCUUUACAGUCUGUGACAUUUUUUUGGUAAAACUUUGAAUCAGAUUUAUGUGUAUAUACUUAAUUAUGUUAACUACAUGUAUCAAGAAUACUCAAUUCAUAAAAAGAAGCUGCUUUAAAGGAUUAAAGAUAACUUUGACCCUUUUGAGAAAACAAAUUGAAACACAAGAUUUUGAAUUAAUUUUGUAAUUCUUUUAUAUAUUUUUUUCUUCUGAAAGCCACAUAACGACACAAGUAUUUAUUCAAGGUUUUGAAUGUAUGGUAUACUGUUAGGUUUAGUAUUGAGUCAUUCAGUAAAUUGUUUUUGUUUUGUGGUUUUUAUAAAUUAAUAAAUGGAAGUUUAUAUAAUGUGUUAUGCUUAUAUGUAUGAUUUUUUUUUACUGAUCUAAAGAAAGAAACUUGAGGAUUUAAAUUUUUAUUCCUUUUGAAACAUGUAAGGAAUAUUAGAACAUUGGUUGGCAACAUUAUUAGUGUAAAAAUGUAUUUCACUUGGUAGUCAAGAAUGCUUAUAACUGAGAUGACAUCACUAAUGGUGGUUAACAAGGGUGCCAUGUUGUCAGCACAAUAACCAACCGCCUUUACUUUUCCAAACUCAUAUAAUAAUAAUAAUAAUAAUAAUCUUUAUUAUCCUUAAGGAAAUUUGUCUUACAAUUUGUGCAUUACGCCAAACAAAAAACAUUAUAACUAUCAGAAACCAAAGUGUACAUUCACACCAGACUCACUCAUAAUUUACAUGUGACAAAGUUUAUACCAGAUUGUUCUUAUUUAAUGAUUUGAUUGCCAGGGGAACAAAAGAGUGUUUGUGUCUGUUUGUCUUUGCUAUCGGUGUCUUGUUUCUCUUUUGUGAUGGUAAAAUCACAAAAUCCUGACACAAAGGGUGAUUCUUUAUUUCGAGGAUCUUGUUAGCUUUUUUAUAGAUGUUUGUCUCAAACAACUGCCCAAAUGGGGUUUGUUUUUUGCCAAUGAUUUUGCCAGCAGCAUUUAGGAUUCUAUGAAGUUACCCAUUAGAGCUGGGUGGACUCGAAGGCACCAUAAAGAUCCCAAAAUUAAAAAUACCCGUCUUCACCAGGAUUUGAACCCAGGGCCCUCCUGUUUGGAAGUCAAGUGCUUUACCACUCAUCCACAUGCCUCUGUUAAAGGCUAGAUUUUGUGACAAUUAUUUUUAGGAGAGAGAAUGAUGUAUGCACAAAGUUGUAGCUUUUUUUUAUAUUUUAAAUUUAUUUGUAUUUAACCACUGACUUAUUAAUCUCUGAAUUGUCCAAUUUAAGUUUGUAAUCAGUUAGUGUUGACCUUGGCUUGAUAGGCUAAAAGGAUUAACAAUAAUAAUAAUUAUAGCUUGUAUGUAGUGCUACUUUCAUGCUUACAGCAUGCUCAGAGUGCUGUGUUCCAAUCUUAUGUGUGGACCAGUAGGGGGGGGGGAUUUGGGAGAGGGUUUUCCGUGCUUCCUUCGGGUACUCAGUAAACAGAACUCUGCUUGAGUCGUGUGUUGAACCUAGAGUCACCUUGAUAGGUAGCCGAGCCAAGCCAAGUUCAAGCAUACUUAGCCUCUUGACCACGCCUCCACAUUGAAAUUAAAUUGUAAAUGUUAAAUAUUUUUAAAAAUUUAAUACAGAAUUUGAUAUUUAUGAAAUAUUUAAUACAGAAUUUGAUAUUGAUGAAAAAUUUAA